rnacentral:rRNA from 1 species
GACGAACGCUGGCGGCGUGCUUAACACAUGCAAGUCGAACGAUGAACCACUUCGGUGGGAUUAGUGGCGAACGGGUGAGUAACACGUGGGCAAUCUGCCCUUCACUCUGGGACAAGCCCUGGAAACGGGGUCUAAAUACCGGAUAACACUGCCACGGGCAUCUGUGGUAGGUUAAAAAGCUCCGGCGGUGAAAGGAUGAGCCCGCGGCCUAUCAGCUUGUUGGUGAGGUAAUGGCNCAACCAAGGCGACGACGGGUAGCCGGCCUGAGAGGGC